GUCCCUUCGGAAACAUAUGAUAAAAUUAGAACAAUACAGAAAAAACUAACACGGCCUUUCGAAAGAAUAACAUACGUAAAUCGAGAAAUAUAUUGCCUAUUC